AUUGAACGCUGGCGGCAGGCCUAACACAUGCAAGUCGAACGGUAACAGGAAGAAGCUUGCUUCUUUGCUGACGAGUGGCGGACGGGUGAGUAAUGUCUGGGAAACUGCCUGAUGGAGGGGGAUAACUACUGGAAACGGUAGCUAAUACCGCAUAACGUCGCAAGACCAAAGAGGGGGACCUUCGGGCCUCUUGCCAUCGGAUGUGCCCAGAUGGGAUUAGCUAGUAGGUGGGGUAACGGCUCACCUAGGCGACGAUCCCUAGCUGGUCUGAGAGGAUGACCAGCCACACUGGAACGGAGACACGGUCCAGACGCCUACGGGAGGCAGCAGUGGGGAAUAUUGCACAAUGGGCGCAAGCCUGAUGCAGCCAUGCCGCGUGUAUGAAGAAGGCCUUCGGGUUGUAAAGUACUUUCAGCGGGGAGGAAGGGAGUAAAGUUAAUACCUUUGCUCAUUGACGUUACCCGCAGAAGAAGCACCGGCUAACUACGUG
rnacentral:rRNA from 1 species